UAUUGGUGGUGUGGACACUUCCAAAGAAAAUCCUUGAAGAGUUCUCAAGCAUGAUAAAGGUUUUCAUUAGGAUUCUGUUUGAAGCUAACUAUCUCAAUGCAAAGU
rfam:Capsicum annuum cultivar Zunla-1 unplaced genomic scaffold scaffold9, whole genome shotgun sequence